CGGUUAAAAAGCUCGUAGUUGGAUUUCUUCCAGGGGCAGUCGGUCCACACUACGUGUGCGUAUCUGAUUUGACUUUGGAAUCCUAUUGGGAACAUCUCUGCGUUUAACUGCGUGGAAUGGUAUUCAAGACUUUUACUUUGAGGAAAUUAGAGUGUUCACGGCAGGCAAUCGCCCUGAAUACAUUAGCAUGGAAUAGUAAUAUAGGAUUUCGGUUCUAUUUUGUUGGUUUCUAGAGCUGAGAUAAUGAUUAAUAGGGACACUUGGGGGCAUUCGUAUUAUCACGUCAGAGGUGGAAUUCUUGGAUUGUGUUACGACGAACUACUGCGAAAGCAUUUGCCAAGGAUGUUUUCAUUAAUCAAGAACGAAAGUUAGGGGAUCGAAGACGAUCAGAUACCGUCGUAGUCUUAACCAUAAACUAUGCCGACUAAGGAUUGGGCGUGGUUUGUUCAUUGACCCGCUCAGCACCUUAC
rnacentral:rRNA from 1 species